rnacentral:tRNA from 5 species
CGGGAUGUGGCUCAGCUUGGUAGAGCGCUGCGUUCGGGACGCAGAGGUCGCAGGUUCAAAUCCUGUCAUCCCGACCA